GAUGAACGCUGGCUACAGGCUUAACACAUGCAAGUCGAGGGGAAACGACGGGGAAGCUUGCUUCCCCGGGCGUCGACCGGCGCACGGGUGAGUAACGCGUAUCCAACCUGCCUCUGACUGAGGGAUAACCCGUCGAAAGUCGGCCUAAUACCUCAUGGCAUCGUCUGCGGGCAUCCAACGACGAUUAAAGAUUUCAUCGGUCAGAGAUGGGGAUGCGUCUGAUUAGCUUGUUGGCGGGGUAACGGCCCACCAAGGCGACGAUCAGUAGGGGUUCUAAGAGGAAGGUCCCCCACAUUGGAACUGAGACACGGUCCAAACUCCUACGGGAGGCAGCAGUGAGGAAUAUUGGUCAAUGGGCGAGAGCCUGAACCAGCCAAGUAGCGUGCAGGAUGACGGCCCUAUGGGUUGUAAACUGCUUUUAGGCGGGGAUAAAGUGAGGGACGUGUCCUUCAUUGCAGGUACCGCAUGAAUAAGGACCGGCUAAUUCCGUG
rnacentral:rRNA from 1 species